GCAGAAAGUCUCCAUGAAUGCAUGUAAGGUCUAAUGUCCCUCCUUGGGCCCCCAUUCCCCUGGGUCAGUGUACCACAUGGCCACUCCAUGCUGUACCUCUGCCUUUGCCUGUCACCCUGCAAGCCUGACAGGUGGCCCUUUGAAGGGGGCCUUAUGCACCUCCAUGCCCCAGGAUGGCCAUGAUGCUCAGAAUACAGUAGGUCCUUGGCACACGGCAGGUCCUCAGGAAAGUGGCAGUCAGUGAAAGCAGAGUGAAGAACUAUUAGCAGUGACCUUGGACUCCAGGACAGAGGAAGCAUUCUCAUGAAAGAUGAAGAAGAAACGGAGAAAGAAGGGGCCUUUCUAAGAGGAGAAAUCCUCAUCUUCAUGCAAGGGCUGUGGCUUCAUCUCACCCCCUUCCCUCCCAGCUGGACUGGAAACGAGAUUGGGUUUCUUGUGAGGAUUAAACGGAAGAAUGUUUAUGAAGUAAGUGGAAAAUAAAGUUAAAAGAAGAGAAAAGAUUGAUUUGCAACCUCUGGGCUUUACUUCCGUCAUCUGAAGUUGGGAUCUACUCAGGUUUCCCAUCCUGAAGUCCACAUUUCACUGGGAAAUAGGGUCGUGUUCUCAGCAGCGCUUGACACUAACAGAACAAAUACCCAGUGUGGAUUUAUACGUGAGCGUCAAUUUUAUGUGUGGAUUUUGGUGAAAAAAAAAUUAAGUGAUUUAAAAAU
rnacentral:lncRNA from 10 species